rnacentral:lncRNA from 1 species
CUGAAUCUCAAAAACCUGGAUUCUGCUUUCAGCAGCAAACCUAGGAUCACCGACCAGUUCAAUAAGGGUCUAACAAACUCUGGACAGACUUCUGUGGAAAAGGGGUCCAGUUCAAGAUGGUGGGAGCAGUGUGUGAACUGUGUUGCAGCCCAUCGAAAUGGUGUUUUCUUUCUCUUUCAUCUCUUACGAGCACAAAAUGCUGUAUGCCUUGGAACAUGCCAUGAAUGCAUGCUGGGAGUUCCUGGAGGUGCGUAAGGUCUUGAAAGCUUCACUGUGAUGUUCCUUUCAUGCUUCUGAAACUCACUUGUUUUCUUCCACCGCCCCACAAGACAGUUAUGCUGUAGCAAGAGCAGGCAGGCUGCCUCAGAGUCACAGAUCAUGGGAAACCAUCGCUUAAGAGGCACUGCAACCUGCUUACUAAGCAGAGCAGCGCUACAGCUAAUACUCAGCAGGCUCCAUGACCUGUCCUGCUCUUGACCUAAGAUACCAAAAGCCCAGGCCUGGGUUGUCUCAGACGCUGCAGGCAGCCCAGCAGCUUGCAGCUGUGCUCCUCUGACCAGCUCAGGGUCAAGCCCUCAAGCACAGCAAGGAAAACAUGAUGAUGGCAGGCCACUAGCACCGAGGCUGUUCCCUGUAGAGAUAAGGGAGCAUCUAUUUUUGGUCCCUUUCAGGUCUCAGUGUAAGAUCCCAGUUUGAAAAGGUUUCUCCAGGGCAAUGUACCCAUCUGCAAGUGCUGUGGGCUACCACAGAAAA